UUUAUCGGAGAGUUUGAUCCUGGCUCAGGACGAACGCUGGCGGCGUGCCUAAUACAUGCAAGUCGAGCGGACAGAUGGGAGCUUGCUCCCUGAUGUUAGCGGCGGACGGGUGAGUAACACG
rnacentral:rRNA from 1 species